rnacentral:rRNA from 1 species
GACGUAGGGCGCGAGCGUUGUCCGGAUUUAUUGGGCGUAAAGAGCUCGUAGGCGGCUUGUCGCGUCGACUGUGAAAACCCGCGGCUCAACCUCGGGUCUGCAGUCGAUACGAGCAAACUAGAGUGUUGCAGGGGAGACUGGAAUUCCUGGUGUAGCGGUGAAAUGCGCAGAUAUCAGGAGGAACACCGGUGGCGAAGGCGGGUCUCUGGGCAACAACUGACGCUGAGGAGCGAAAGCGUGGGGAGCGAACAGG